UAAUGCAAAUAUCCCUUUAUUGGUUCUUAAAGAUAUGUCUCCUGCCCCUGUAUGUUAGCAUCUCUAAUCUCAUUUAUUGGUUGGAGCUCUCUUCGAUUUAGCAAGUAACUGAGUGGCUUUCGCUCCUUGGUCUAUUGUCUAUCGAUGUCCUGCCCCACUUCUCUUUAGUGCUUGAGUUAGUUGAUAGAAACCUUUCUUGUAGGAAUAGGCCACUUCUUGGCAAGUUCGGAAGCUUUGGUGAGUUUGGAACUAAUGCUAAUGGUCUCAGAUAUGACUCAGAGUACUGCCUCGCUUAGUCCAGCUGGCCCUACUAUUAACUAAUGAGACUUAAAUAGAGUACAAGUACCAAAUACAGAUAAAAAGAGUGUAUGC
rnacentral:lncRNA from 1 species